rnacentral:rRNA from 1 species
UACGUAGGGUGCGAGCGUUAAUCGGAAUUACUGGGCGUAAAGCGUGCGCAGGCGGUUUUGUAAGCCAGAUGUGAAAUCCCCGGGCUCAACCUGGGAAUGGCAUUUGGGACUGCAAGGCUUGAGUGCGGCAGAGGAGACUGGAACUCCUGGUGUAGCAGUGAAAUGCGUAGAUAUCAGGAGGAAUACCGAUGGCGAAGGCAGGUCUCUGGGCUGACACUGACGCUCAUGCACGAAAGCGUGGGGAGCAAACAGG